rnacentral:rRNA from 1 species
CCUACGGGCGGCAGCAGUGAGGAAUAUUGGUCAAUGGACGCAAGUCUGAACCAGCCAUGCCGCGUGCGGGAAGACGGCUCUAUGAGUUGUAAACUGCUUUUGUAAGAGGGUAAACGCAGCUACGUGUAUCUGUAUGGAAGUAUCGUACGAAUAAGGAUCGGCUAACUCCGUGCCAGCCGCCGCGGGAAUAAGGAGGAUUCAAGGGUUAUCCGGAUUUUUUGGGUUUAAAGGGUGCGUAGGGGGGAGGGUAAGUUAGGGGUGAAAUCCCGGGGCUCAACCGCGGAAUGGCCUUUGAUACUGGUCGUCUAGAGAGUAGGAGCGGUAGGCGGAAUGUAUGGUGUAGCGGUGAAAUGCUUAGAGAUCAUACAGAACACCGAUUGCGAAGGCAGCUUACCAAGCUACUUCUGACGCUGAGGCACGAAAGCGUGGGGAGCAAACAGGAUUAGAUACCCGAGUAGUC